GUUGUGUUUGCGGCCACACAACAAAUGACCCCAAAAUUCAGCAAUUUGUGUUCAUGUGUGUGCAGGAGUACAUGCGUGUGGAGGCCAGAUGUCAGGUGUCUCUCACCCUGGAGCCUGCUGAUUCAUGCUAGACUGAGCUCCAGGAAUCCUCCUGUCUCAACCUCACAAGCUCUGGAAUUACAGUCACAAGCCACUGUGCCAAGAUCUUUAACAUGGGUACUGGGGAGUAGAACUCAGAACCUUGUGCUUGUGAGGCCAGUGAGCCACCUCCCUGCCCCAAGCUCAGUAUCUUAAGGCCAUUGAGUUGUUAUUGCUCAUGGGUUUUAUGGGUCAAGAAUUGAGAAAGCUUAGCAUAGAGAGAGUCUGGCUGUUUAAUUUUUGAGAUUUUUUUUUUUAAAGUGGUGAUUUGAGUCAGGGUCUCACUAUGUAGUUCUGGCUGUCCUAAAACUCAGUAUGUAGACCAAACUCACAAAUCUCUGCCUCUCAAGUGCUGAGAUUAAAAGUGUGUAUCAAUCACUACAUCAGGCCAUGAUUUUACUUAUUUUUAUUUUAUAUGCCUAUAUGUAUAUGCAUGCAUGCCCACAGGGGCCAGAGAGGGCACUGGAUCCUCUGGAACUGGAAUUACAGAUGGUCCCAAGGCACCCUGUGAGUUCUGGAAACUGAACCCAGGUCCUCUUGUUUAAUACUGCUAUCACUUGACACAGGCUGAGCCAGUGCUGGAUCGUGGGACUACAUCUCUAUCCACAACACCUGACCCCUUGUUUAAAUGUUGUAGAUAGAAUCGUGCUGCAUUGCCCAGGUUAGCCUUGAACUCACUCUGAAGCCUGGACUGGCUAGAACUCGCAACACUCCAACUUCAGCUUCCCAAGUGCUCAGAUAACAGUCAGCCGCAGAGAACCCAUGAUGCCCAGCUGCCCUGGAGGUCCGAGGUCCACAGUUUGUGAGACUGGAAAUCGCAGCAUCCUCAGGCCACACAUCCACCACCAGCUAGGAAGGAGGACCACUGGAUUCCAUAAUCUGGUGUCCCCUGCUUCUCCCUCUUUUUGAGUACAUAUGUGUGUUUAUUCUUUUUCUUCAUUGAAAUGUAUCACACUUGUGGUGGGGGACCCGUAUGGCAUAGCACAUACACAAAGGUCAGAGGAGAACUCGUCAAUUCUGUCCUUCUGCCCUGUGAGUUCUGGGAGUGGAACUCAGGCCCUCAGACUUGUCAACAGGCUACCCACUGAGCUAUCUCGACAGCCCUUAAUUGUUUUAUGUAUUGGCGUAUUCGCUUAGUAACAGGGUCUCAUGUAUCUCAGGCACCCUUGGACUCUCUAUGCACCAUGUAGCUGAAGGUGACUUUGAACUCCAAUCCAGACAAAAAGAGCAACAGUGGACCCAAGAAAUUACUCCAAGUCCAGCAUGGUGAACCAGUGGGGAGACUCAGAAGCAGCUGCAGUACCAGAAAGUCCCACAGAGGGAGGGAUGAUGCAGGGAGGCUGUGCCGCUGGGGUCCUCUGUGCAGGCACCUCGCAGGCGGCUGUUCUUAGGACUGUCCUCCCUCCGGCUCCCAGCUACUGCUUAUGUGACUUGUGAAUCUGCAAAGAUACCUCGAGCUUCGUGAGCCUCUCGAGCCUUCUUCCCACCCUGGACUAGAGAAGCACCUGCACCACAAACAGAAGUUUCUUCUGUGUGUAGAGGCCAGAGGUCAAUGCCAAACGUCUUCCUUAGUUGCCUUUCACCUGUUCUGAUGGCUGUCACUGAGCCUGAAGCUCACUGAUUUGGCUAGCAAGCACCAGGGAUCUCCUGUCUCCACCUCUGCAGUGCUAAGAAUGUGACCUUGACCAUUGCCGUGUUCACCAUCCUAGCCUCCAUCUACUUCUUCAACAAGGCUCAGCAGUGAGAAGGCACGGCUCCCCAGCCCACCAACCCGGCCUCGCAGCAGUGAGAAGCCAUGGCUCCCCAGCCCACCAACCUGACCUCUACCUGUUCUACCAUCGCUCUGGCCUCUGAGAUCUAAUAAAUGUAACAGCAUCAGAUCAAGGCUCCCUACUUCCUAAGUCCUACUCCCCACAGGUCCAGGGACUGCAAUAGUCAGCCAAAACCUCAGUAGGAAGAAGAAAAGUAGAGACCUGGCCCCUAGAUCUGAGUGAGGAGGCUGGGCCCUGGACCUCUGAGUCUGAGGGAGGAGGUUGGGCCCUGGACCUCUGAGUCUGAGGGAGGAGUCUGAGCCCUGGACCUCUGAGUCUGAGGGAGGAGACUGGGCCCUGGACCUUUGUGUCUGAGGGAGGAGGCUGGAGCUUGUAACCCUAGGUCUGAAGGAAUAGGGCUGGAUCCUGGACCCCUGGGUCUAAAGGGGAAGUUCUGGGAACUGAGGCAGGAGUGACAAUGACCUGUGUUCUCUAGUUGGAGGACAGGGUCCAGCAUCUGAUCUGGUUUUGGGGAGUGAGCAGGAGUCUUUAGGGCACAUGGGUAUCUGGAGGGCUUUUCAGCUCUGAGGCUGAGAGCACAGAAGAACUUCCAGGGUCCGAGUCUCUACCUGGAACCAAACAACUUGUUCAGGACUUAAAACUUAUCACUUCUCUUUGAGGACUCCUGCCAGCCAAAGGUGGAAAUCUGUUUAACAGGAGAUCACGCUAAGGAUUAAUGACGAUCAGAGGUAUGAGCAGAAGUUGUGACUGCAGCAGAGUCAGUCUAGGUGGACAUAAUUCCUCUUAGUUAUCUUAAGGAAUACUGACUCUUCUCUUUUCUUAGCAAACUCCUAUUCAACAGUUACCACCUGCCAUCAAAUCCCUUUCUUAUAUGAGUGAUCAGAACCCCAAACAGGGGAUCUGUUAGCCCACAAUCUCCUUCCUGCCAGCUUCUCCAACCUCUCCAAGUAAAUGCCCUGAGGAACACACCUGUCCAAGCAAAUUCAUUUCCACCCAGUGUCCGAGGCAGUGGCUUCUGAACACGGUAUUCACUGGGUUUCAGGAUAAGGACUAGAAAUUUCCUAUCACAAACAGAUUUGUGCUUCUAGUUAGCUCAGAUCGGUGCGAUUUUAGUGAGUUUCAAGCUCUUGGGACCAAGCGGCACUGACGAUUGCGCUCUCUGCUGACUAGAGCCUAUAACAGCACUCUGUACUCAAAUGCAGUGACUGCAGAAUCAGAAAUAGCCGCAUGGUGGCGAUGUCGGACUAUCGUCCCAGAUUCUAAUUGGCCUCAUGCCUGGGCUCUCUCCAAAGGCUCUUCCCAAACCUCCACCACCUCCUGUCAGUCGGGUGGCCUGUCUCCAACCUAAGACCAUCCAGCACCUCCCCCACCAGGCGCCUCUGCUAUAUCCUUAGCCCCAUAACUCAAAAAUGGUUGAGCAGCUACACCCUGUGGCUUUUCACACGCCAUGCCCCACACAGGGCCCUUCACAUCUAUUUUGCACAUCCUCCUCUGAAAGCAUUCCUUCCUGCCUCACCUCAAUCCCCAGGUGGGCUUGACUGCCAGUGGUUUUUCAACAGCUUACCCAAGUCAACCUUUACUUCCUCUAUAUCCCUCCUCCCCACCAGGGCUUGACAGUUUAUGAGGUUUCUGUGUCCUCAGGGAGCUAUCAGCUUAGCAUUUUCUCAACCGCGUUUCUCAACCGCAGUCCGGUGGAGAUGGAUGCGUCUCAGCUUGGCUGGGUGAAGAGCCACGGAGGGCUUCGUCAAUUCCCACCACUGAGCUUGGGGUGGGAUGGAGCAUCGAAUUCUGCCCUGAAUGCUCCCCAGGGUGCUGUGGAUGGGCAGUCGGGGUUCUGAAGCUGUCAUUAUUGGGAGGAAACUGAGUGCUUCCAAGAGGUAGCUCUGCUGCCUGAGAAAUUAUUUUUAAAAAAGUUUAUUAGUUUUUAUGCAUACAGUCUUCUGCCUACAUGUAUGUCUACAGGCCAGACAGGUGCUCCAGAUCGUAUUACAGAUGGCUGUGGGCCUCCGUGUGGUUGCUGGGAAUUAAGGAAUUCUUUAAGAGACCUCGACUCAGAUAAAGAUGGAACUUUUUUUUUUAAUUAUCACUAUUUUAUUUCUAAAAAUAAAUAUUUGCUAUGUAUCAGGAUUGCACUGUAUGGUUUAAAGAUUAUAAUUUAAUUAAUCGGUUAUCUCUGAGUCAGGGUAGCUGGAACUUCCUAUAUAAACCUCAUCUGCCCACCCCUACUGGGAUAGAAGGGUGAGCCACCACUCCUGGCUUUUAUUUUUAAAUUGCAUGCAUGUGUGGAGUGUUGUGUGUGUAAAUGCAUGUAUGGGGGUGUCCAUGGAGGCCAAAAGAAGGUGUCAGAUUCCCUGAAGCUGGAGUAAUGGGCUGCCAACUGCCAGACCUGAGUGCUGGGGAAGUAACUCUUAGCUCGGGUCCUCUGCAAAAGCAGCAGGUGCUCCCGCGGGGCAGCCUUGAGAAGCUAAGUCUGGGCAGAUCACCCAAAGGAAGUUCUUUACUUCCAGCCAUUAUCACCUGCCAGAGUAGGACUCAGCCAUAGAUAAAUUUAAUAAAAGGUCUGAGUCUCAGUAGUUUACCCUGAGGCAAUGCCUGGUUACAGGAGGAACCACAAGCUGAGAUUACCCGACCUCCACCCAAGAACAGACCAUCCAAAGGAAAUGCCUGGCAUUCUAACCGCCAUAGAUGGGAACACCUGCCAAAACACAUUCACCAGGACAUCCCUAGACAAAUGUCAGUCAAUCAAGAGUCCUGAACCUCAGAGACCACUCACUCCCACCUUUACUACUAUAAAACCCUAUUUUAAUUGAGCUCAGGGCUCUUUUAUUCCAAUACAUUGAACACGCCGAGAGACGGGGUUUGCCUUAGCCAUGGUGUCUUGUCACAGCGAUGAAACAGUAACUUAGACAGGUGUCUUUGCGUUGUCCCUGUGUAUACCAGAGUAAAUAAAAUUUAUUUUAAAAUUAAAUUAAGAUUAAAAUAAAGGCUCUUUGCUUUUACAUACGGGACUUGGUCUCCUUGUUGGCUUUUGCGGGGACUUUGCGGAUUUGGGCAUAACACUCCUAACCACUGAGCCAUCCCUCCGGCCUCGUGAGUCAGUGUGAAACCGAGUUGGAAUUAAGAUCUUAGGACUGAAGAGAUGGCCCAGUGGUUAAGAGCAAACGGCCUGCGUAGGAUUCCCAGGAAACACGGCAAUCUCCUGUGAUUCCAGUGUUGGGAUUUGAUGCUUCUGGGUCACUGCACACGUGAUGUGCAUGACAUCAUACAGACAAAACACACACAGAAAAUGUCAAAAGUGAAUCUCUUUUAAAAAGUGUAGGGCUGAGGACAUGGCUCAGUGCUUGCUAAGUAAAAUGAGGACCCUUGUCUGACAUUCCAAAACCCACAUGAAGCAGGUGUGGAAGCAAGAAGCUGGGAUCAGGGCACCUCAGUGCCCAGAGGGAAGGUGAACACAAGAGAACCCCCGACACUCCAAGGGCAGUCACUCUGGUAUACCCAGUGACAACGCAAAGACACCAGUUUCACAGGGUUGGCCCAAGCUCAUCGUGGCAGGGAGUACAGGUGGCUGUGGUGCUGGGGAAGCAGCAGAAAGCUUCCAUCCUGAUCCACAGACAGAGGCCGCAGACAGAGAGAGGCUCAUAGGGCCCGCUGUGGGCUUUCGAAACCUCAAAACCCAUCCCAAGUGACUUCCUCCAACAAGACCAUGCCUCCUCUUCCUCCUAAUUCUCAAAUAGUGCCACUCCCUGGUGACUAAACAUUCA